rnacentral:rRNA from 1 species
AUUGAACGCUGGCGGCAUGCCUUACACAUGCAAGUCGAACGGCAGCACGGGGCAACCUGGUGGCGAGUGGCGAACGGGUGAGUAAUGCAUCGGAACGUACCUUUCAGUGGGGGAUAACGUAGCGAAAGUUACGCUAAUACCGCAUAUUCUGUGAGCAGGAAAGCAGGGGAUCGCAAGACCUUGCGCUGAUUGAGCGGCCGAUGUCAGAUUAGCUAGUUGGUGAGGUAAAGGCUCACCAAGGCGACGAUCUGUAGCGGGUCUGAGAGGAUGAUCCGCCACACUGGAACUGGAACACGGUCCAGACUCCUACGGGAGGCAGCAGUGGGGAAUUUUGGACAAUGGGGGCAACCCUGAUCCAGCCAUGCCGCGUGAGUGAAGAAGGCCUUCGGGUUGUAAAGCUCUUUCGGCCGGGAAGAAAUCGCACGGGCUAAUACCCUGUGUGGAUGACGGUACCGGAAUAAGAAGCACCGGCUAACUACGUGCCAGCCGCCGCAGUAA